CGUUCAUAUCACACAGGCUCGUGACUUAAAAUAAAUAUGCUCGACUUCGUCUUUGGAAAAGCUUGCUUUCUAGAGCAGUGAACCAGCCAUCCAGAGAGGGUUGCUGAGCGAUGGCCUUACCUCCCCGGUCCCCCGUCGAGGAUGGUCACAGGGGAGGAUGCCCAUGGCGACCACGGCUGUCAAACGCUGUUUCCAUGAUGCCAAAGAAUGAUUGGUUUCAUGGAUCCGGACAGUGCUCUCUGACAGCACAGGGGGAGUCUCGGCUGCACCUGGGAGAAGAAACACUGGCAGCAUGUGAAAUGUUACUGAACAGGGUCAUUGCAAGGGUCAUCGUAUGACCUGUCACCCCCCCCUCCCCGUCAUCAAGGAAUUUACAGCCAGGCCUCGUGCUACAUGUUGAGAAUAUUAGGUCUGAAUUUAUCCUUUGUUUGAGCCUGAGUUAUAGUCUCUGUGCUUUCUGUGAGGCUGUGGUGAAUCUGCAGACAACAAUGUCUUGGUUUGAAAAGUGAAGCAGCAAGGACACCGCUCCUGACAGCUGACGCUUCUGUGAAUAGUCUUUUGUCAUUAAAGUUCAACUACAGCGGCUGACAGCUAAGAAAUCAAGGUUUAAAUCUUUAAUUGGGAGGGAGUUAUUCACAAGAUACCUAAUUUGCGAAGUGCUGCAAACAAGCACCGCAUUUCCAAGUCUGACUCAUGUCUAGCCCAGUCUGUGGAAAAGCACUGCCAGUGCCAUUGAUUGUCAGUGGGCUUUUUUUUUUUUUUUAGUGAGGCUUGUUAAGCAUGAAUGACAAAGCAAGUGAUGGGACCCAACGACAGCAGCUCCCUCACUUUAUUUUCCCUCGCAGCGUGUUUUUAUCACACCGUGGCUUUAGCAUAUCUCUUAAAGAUGUGGUCUUCCUGAGAAUCCCACUGCACCGAGCCCACGACAGUUUUAAUGAUUGAUCACUUUCCUCUUGCCUGUGGUGAAAGGAAAGUGAGGGGGGUGAAUAAGAAAGAAAAAGGAAAGGGAGCAAGUAGGGGCGUGGACAAUCCCACAAGGUCAGAGUGAUGUGUCCAGGCUUUUGUUUUCAGUGGUGAGAUCAGUGGCCUGUGCAGCCACGAGGGGACGUGCAAAGUAAGUGGCGGCCUGGCAGGAACAGAUGUUCUUACACAAUGAACAUGCACUUGGUUGUUUGCUUAUUCACUAAAACUCAAGGAGAUGACUUCCCCUUUUGGAAACAAAUAAAAAUACAGACAAAAGUCGUUGCUUUUCCACCUGUAGGCCUCUGGGGAAAAUGUUGCUGAGUCAAU
ensembl:lncRNA